rnacentral:rRNA from 1 species
UACGGAGGGUGCAAGCGUUGUCCGGAAUCAUUGGGCGUAAAGCGUUCGUAGGCGGUUUAUCAAGUCUGGUGUUAAAUCCUGAGGCUCAACUUCAGAUCUGCACCGGAUACUGGUAGACUGGAAUGAGGUAGAGGUAAUGGGAAUUUCUGGUGUAACGGUGAAAUGUUUAGAUAUCAGGAAGAACAUCGGUGGCGUAAGCGCGUUACUGGGCCCUUAUUGACGCUGAGGAACGAAAGCUAGGGUAGCAAAC